rnacentral:tRNA from 1 species
CCUUCGAUAGCUCAGCUGGUAGAGCGGAGGACUGUAGGAAGUAAACUUGAGGCAAUCCUUAGGUCGCUGGUUCGAUUCCGGCUCGAAGGA